AAGGAAGAGAUGCAAUAUAUAAGUGGGCUAGAGACCGAGGGGUGGAUUUAACUAUGGACGCUAUUGCACAGGUUAUUCAUGACUGUGACACAUGUACCACAAUUAAAAAAGCCAAGAGGAUGAAACCUCUCUGGGGAGAAGGGCAAUGGCAUAAGUACAAAUAUGGGGAGGCAUCACCUUGCCACGACCUCGCAAUGAUAAGCGUUAUGUGCUCACCAUGGUGGAGGCAACCACUGGGUGGCUUGAAAACAUACGCAGUACUCCAUGCUACUGCCCAAAACACCAAAUUAGGUCUCAAGAAAGAAGUCCGAUGGCUACAUGGCACACCAGAAGUCAGAUAAUGGGACUCAUUUCAAAAACUCCCUUGUAAAUACUUGGGCCAAAGAUCAUGGCAUUGAGUGGAUUUAUCAUAUCCCCUGUCACGCACCAGCCUCUGGUAAAAUUGAACAAUACAAGGGGGUGUCAAAAACUGUUGAAAGCAAUGGGUGGCAGAACAUCUAAGCAUUGGGAGAAGUAUUUGGCAGAAGGUACCUGGUUGGUAAACACUAGAGGAUUGGUCAGUCAUGAUGGUCCUGCCAGCUCCCUACAUACUGUCAAGGGAGAUAAGGUCCUUGUAGUACAUGUAAAGAACAUGGGGAAAAACAUUUUGGGUCUUUCCAGCUUCUGGGAAGGGAAAACCUCUUCGUGGAACUGUUUUUGCCCAGAGACCUGGGUCCACUUGGGACGCGGAUCCGCAGGUCCCUCUGUCCCCCUAGUCACAGAACCAGGCCAAAUCAUCCCAUAAACCAUUGACAAUCCCUUGGAUGCCUUCCUGCUAACAGGAGGAACAAUUCUGCAUCUUGGCCAGUAGAAGUGACAACAUUUCCC
ensembl:lncRNA